rnacentral:lncRNA from 10 species
CUGUUUGCAAGGAAGAGCCACAGAAAUAUUUUCAGAAGCAGCAGGGGACAUUAUUAAGUUUAUGUUUUAAUUUAAAAAAAAAAAUUCUGGCUGCAGCAUGGAGGUGCAGUCAAUGUAACAUGCUACCUGGAUUCACUUCAAAAAUGAAGGAUUUGAGAUGAAGUUACUGGAAAUGCUGUCAGUGUCUUUGGAGGAUUGCCUCAGGAAACCUAACUGGGGCAGUGGAGUAGAUUGAAAAGGAAAGAGGGAAGAGGCAGGAGGCUAGUUGCUGUGGACCAGGCUGCGCUUGCUGGAACCACACACACUGAACUUCCUGGGACAUCCCCUGUCUGGGUGGACACCACGUCCUGCGGCAUGUUUUCUGCUAACGUGAUUUUCCUAACUCCUCGGCUAGUCUCCUGGCUUCUGAUUUUAUCAACAUGUAUCAGGAAUCAAAUUAAAUUUUGAUCAUUUUUGGAAAGGAGAAAGAAGAGUCUUCCACAGACAAUUAAAAUACAAAAAGAAAAACACGGAGCUAUCACGGGACAGGACAGAAUGAUAGAGAGGAUGGACCCGCCACACUGGAAAUGGAAGGAAGUGAAAUAAACCAAUGGACCAGCUACUGUGAAACCUGUCAUCCUUCCUGAAACAAAUCAUUCAAGAGACAGCCCCUUUGAAAUACAUGAGCAAACACUGCUCAGGCUUUUUAAAUCAAUGCAUACAAACAGAUUUUUAAACAAUAUAUGAAUGAAACGACAUGCCUAGUUUCAUAUUUUGAUUUUUUCCCACCCUAUAUUAUUUCACAUUUUCUAUACGAGGAAGAGAAAUAAACUUUUGAUUCAACAGGG